rnacentral:rRNA from 1 species
AGUGAACGCUGGCGGUAGGCCUAACACAUGCAAGUCGAACGGCAGCACAGUAAGAGCUUGCUCUUACGGGUGGCGAGUGGCGGACGGGUGAGGAAUACAUCGGAAUCUACUUUUUCGUGGGGGAUAACGUAGGGAAACUUACGCUAAUACCGCAUACGACCUACGGGUGAAAGCAGGGGAUCUUCGGACCUUGCGCGAUUGAAUGAGCCGAUGUCGGAUUAGCUAGUUGGCGGGGUAAAGGCCCACCAAGGCGACGAUCCGUAGCUGGUCUGAGAGGAUGAUCAGCCACACUGGACAUGAGACACGGUCCCGACUCCUACGGGAGGCAGCAGUGGGGAAUAUUGGACAGUGGGCGCAAGCCUGAUCCAGCCAUACCGCGUGGGUGAAGAAGGCCUUCGGGUUGUAAAGCCCUUUUGUUGGGAAAGAAAAGCAGCAGGUUAAUACCCCGCUGUUCUGACGGUACCCAAAGAAUAAGCACCGGCUAACUGCGU